CUUGAACUUUAUAAGAGGUCCAGCCUGCCCAGUGACUCUGUUCAACGGCCGCGGUAUCCUAACCGUGCGAAGGUAGCGUAAUCACUUGUUCUUUAAAUGUGGACUAGUAUGAAUGGCACUACGAGGGUUAUACUGUCUCCUUUUUCUAAUCAGUGAAACUAAUUUUCCCGUGAAGAAGCGGGAAUACAACCAUAAGACGAGAAGACCCUAUGGAGCUUUAAACAACCUAGCAAUUACUUCUAAAAUUAUAAAUUUCAGAAUACUCAUUUUUUAAGCAAUAUGUCUGCAAGUUUUUGGUUGGGGUGACCAUGGAGAAUAACACAACCUCCAUAUUGAAUGAAUUUUUAUUCUAAGCUAAGAAUUACUAAUUAAAGCAUCAACACACUGACAUUUAUUGACCCA
rnacentral:rRNA from 1 species